CCUACGGGGGGCUGCAGUGAGGAAUAUUGCGCAAUGGGCGAAAGCCUGACGCAGCAACGCCGCGUGGAGGAUGAAGGUCUUAGGAUUGUAAACUUCUGUUAAACAGGACGAAAGACUUAUGGAUAAUACCCAUAAGGGAUGACGGUACUGUUAUAGAAAGCACCGGCUAACUUCGUGCCAGCAGCCGCGGUAAUACGAAGGGUGCAAGCGUUAUUCGGAUUGACUGGGCGUAAAGGGUGUGUAGGUGGUAUGUUAAGUCUGCUGUUAAAUUCUUCAGCCUAACUGAAGGCAUGCGGUGGAUACUGAUGUACUAGAGAGUGGAAGAGAGAAGUGGAAUUCUCGGAGUAGCGGUAAAAUGCGUAGAUCUCGAGAGGAACACCGAUGGCGAAGGCAGCUUCUUGGUCCAUUUCUGACACUGAGACACGAAAGCGUGGGGAGCAAACAGGAUUAGAUACCCCGGUAGUC
rnacentral:rRNA from 1 species